CGGUCGUAUUUAUUAGGUACCAAACGGAACAGACUGAAACAGGGAGGCACUAUCAAACAGACAUGGGCUGAGCUGAAGGGGUGGGGCGGGCAGACUUUACACUGAGGCUCCAUACCCGGAGCCAGGCCAAGUGUUACGGACCAUUCUGUGGUGUAACGGUGAGCACUGAAGGGAGUUGCUGGGUUGGAGUAGAGGGUAGUUUCCACAGACUGGGAAGCUGAUGGAUAGAGGAGAGUCCACCUGGCCGUGCUGCUGCUCCAGUUUCAACUGUUCUGCCUGCGGCUAUGGAACCCUGACCUGUUCACCGGACGUGCUACCUGUCCUAGACCUGCUGUUUUCAACUCUCUAGAGACAGCAGUAGCGGUAGAGAUACUCUCAAUGAUCGGCUAUGAAAAGCCAACUGACAUUUACUCUUGAGGUGCUGACUUUUUGCACCCUCGACAACCACUGUGAUUAUUAUUAUUUGACCAUGCUGGUCAUUUAUGAACAUUUGAACAUCUUGGCCAUGUUCUGUUAUAAUCUCCACCCGGCACAGCCAGAAGAGG
rnacentral:lncRNA from 1 species